UGAAUAUUAUCGAUCUUCCGCGCGGUUGUGAAGUGGUGUGCUCCUCUUGUGGCGUCGUAGUUUCUUGCGUUGGUAGUUGAGUAGGCGGUGCGGCGGCUCUAGAAGAUGACGCUCCAGGAGUAUAAAUGUUCUGCGCUGCAUCGUUGUUGAAGAUUGGCGGAAACUCCGGUAAGCGCAAGUUCGGAUUUUGAGCGAGCAUUGCGNNNN
rnacentral:lncRNA from 1 species